rnacentral:rRNA from 1 species
GAUGAACGCUGGCGGCGUGCCUAAUACAUGCAAGUCGAGCGAACAGACGAGGAGCUUGCUCCUCUGACGUUAGCGGGCGACGCGUGAGUAACAUCUGGAUAACCUACCUAUAAGCUUGGGAUAACUUCGGGAAAACGGUGCUAAUACCGGCUAACAUACUGAACCGCAUGGUUCAAUAGUGAAAGACGGCUUUCCUGUCACUUAUAGAUGGAUUCGCGCCGCAUUAGCUAGUUGGUAAGGUAACGGCUUACCAAGGCAACGAUGCGUAGCCGACCUGAGAGGGUGAUCGGCCACACUGUGACUGAGACACGGUCCAGACUCCUACGAGAGCACGCAGUAGGUGAUCUUCCGCAAUGGGCGAAAGCUUGACGGAGCAACGCCGCGUGAGUGAAGAAGGCCUUCGGGUCGUAAAGCUCUGUUAUUAGGGAAGAACAAAUGUGGAAGUAAACAUGCACGUCUUGACGGUACCUAAACAGAAAGCCACGGCUAACUACGUG